UACAGAGGGGGCAAGCGUUGUCCGGAUUUACUGGGCGUAAAGAGCGCGCAGGCGGUCGACCAAGUCGCGUGUGAAAGCCCCCGGCUCAACUGGGGAGGGUCACGCGAUACUGAUCGACUCGAAGGCAGGAGAGGGUAGUGGAAUUCCCGGUGUAGUGGUGAAAUGCGUAGAUAUCGGGAGGAACACCCGUGGCGAAGGCGGCUUCCUGGGUCCAUCCUGACACUGAGGCGCGAAAGCGUGGGGAGCGAACGGG
rnacentral:rRNA from 1 species